rnacentral:rRNA from 1 species
GAUGAACGCUGACAGAAUGCUUAACACAUGCAAGUCUACUUGAAUUUGGGUUUUUUCACUUAGAUUUGGGUGGCGGACGGGUGAGUAACGCGUAAAGAACUUGCCUCACAGCUAGGGACAACAUUUGGAAACGAAUGCUAAUACCUGAUAUUAUGAUUAUAAGGCAUCUUAGAAUUAUGAAAGCUAUAUGCGCUGUGAGAGAGCUUUGCGUCCCAUUAGCUAGUUGGAGAGGUAACGGCUCACCAAGGCGAUGAUGGGUAGCCGGCCUGAGAGGGUGAACGGCCACAAGGGGACUGAGACCCGGCCCUUACUCCUACCGGAGGCAGCCGUUGGGAAUAUUGGACAAUGGACCAAGAGUCUGAUCCAGCAAUUCUGUGUGCAAGAUGACGUUUUUCGGAAUGUAAAGUGCUUUCAGUUGGGAAGAAAAAAUGACGGUACCAACAGAAGAAGUGACGGCUAAAUACGUG